GCCAAGGAGAGUUUGAUCCUGGCUCAGGAUGAACGCUGGCGGCGUGCUUAACACAUGCUAGUCGGUCGGGAUAUUGAGGAUUGCUAGAGGCAGCUUGCUGUUUUUGGAGAGAAUCAAUAUUUAGUGGCGGACGGGU
rnacentral:rRNA from 1 species